GUGGGCUGAAAUUCGGCUUUCAUUGACAUAGAAACCGAAGUUGUUAUUUUUAUGUUUUUUUGAUUAAAAUAGGUUUUGCCCAGCAUUGUUAUGGUAACCUAUGAAUUUAAGACGAUUUGGAAUGAACAUUGUGGAGUUACGAUUUUUUUUCAAAAUAAAUGUAUGGAGCAGGAACAAGAAAUCAUCAUUACUCAAGAACCGCAAAACAAACCGUAAUAUCCUCGCAGGUGGUUAUACUACGAAUUAUUUGUGAUUUUUUGGCAUACUACAUAUAUCCGCCACGGGUGCGGUUUUUUUGAAAAAUCAUUAAUUGUUUCUAUGGAAAAAGCACAAAACCCAAAUUCAACAUUUUAAGAUUUUUUUGAUUGAAAUGGGUUUUGCUCAGUGUGUUUAUGCUAAGUUAUAAGUUUAACACGAUUUGAGUUGAAAAUGGUAGAGUUAUGAUUUUUUUUUAAAAAAAAUGUAUGGAGCCGGAACAAAAUAUCAAAAUAUCUCAAGAACCACAACAAAUACGGUAAUAUCCUCGCAGAUAGUUAUGCUACGAAUUAUUUGUGAUUUUUUGGCAUACUACAUAUAUCCGCCACGGGUGCGAUAUUUUGAUAUUUUGUUCCGGCUCCAUACAUU